UCCAGAGGUCUCAAUCGUUGUUCGGAUUGAUUGGGCGUAAAGGGUGCGUAGGUGGUUGGGUAAGUCAAAUGUGAAAUCCCGGAGCUCAACUCCGGAACUGCAUUCGAUACUGCCCGGCUCGAGGAUUGGAGAGGAGACUGGAAUUCACGGUGUAGCAGUGAAAUGCGUAGAGAUCGUGAGGAACACCCGUGGCGAAGGCGGGUCUCUGGACAAUUCCUGACACUGAGGCACGAAGGCCAGGGGAGCAAACGGG
rnacentral:rRNA from 1 species